rnacentral:rRNA from 1 species
AAACCAACCGGGAUUGCCUUAGUAACGGCGAGUGAAGCGGCAAAAGCUCAAAUUUGAAAUCUGGUACCUUCGGUGCCCGAGUUGUAAUUUGGAGAGGGCAACUUUGGGGCCGUUCCUUGUCUAUGUUCCUUGGAACAGGACGUCAUAGAGGGUGAGAAUCCCGUGUGGCGAGGAGUGCGGUUCUUUGUAAAGUGCCUUCGAAGAGUCGAGUUGUUUGGGAAUGCAGCUCUAAGUGGGUGGUAAAUUCCAUCUAAAGCUAAAUAUUGGCGAGAGACCGAUAGCGAACAAGUACAGUGAUGGAAAGAUGAAAAGAACUUUGAAAAGAGAGUGAAAAAGUACGUGAAAUUGUUGAAAGGGAAGGGCAUUUGAUCAGACAUGGUGUUUUGUGCCCUCUGCUCCUUGUGGGUAGGGGAAUCUCGCAUUUCACUGGGCCAGCAUCAGUUUUGGUGGCAGGAUAAAUCCAUAGGAAUGUAGCUUGCCUCGGUAAGUAUUAUAGCCUGUGGGAAUACUGCCAGCUGGGACUGAGGACUGCGACGUAAGUCAAGGAUGCGGC